rnacentral:misc_RNA from 1 species
GAUGAAGAACGUAGCGAAAUGCGAUAAGUAAUGUGAAUUGCAGAAUUCAGUGAAUCAUCGAAUCUUUGAACGCACAUUGCGCCCCUUGGUAUUCCGGGGGGCAUGCCUGUUCGAGCGUCAUUAUAACCCUCAAGCCUAGCUUGGUGUUGGAGCAUGCUACCUAAUCAGCUCUUAAAAUCAGUGGCAGUGCCCUUCGGCUCUAAGCGUAGUAACUUCUCUCGCUAUGGAACCCGGAGGGUACGCGCCAGAACCCCCAACUUUCUAUGGUUGACCUCGGAUCAGGUAGGGAUACCCGCUGAACUUAAGCAUAUCAAUAAGCGGAGGA